CCGGAUCUCAGAUCAAGUAAGAUUACCCGCCGAACUAAG
rnacentral:rRNA from 1 species